AACUUCUGUGUGCCUUUAUUUACAUGGUAUUCACGUACGCGUAAAAGAAGAGAUCGAAGAACGCUGAUUGGUUGAAUAAAACAUCGGUUCUUGAUCAUUAACUAAUGAAUAUCAUUUCUGAUGAUCAGGUUGGUGUCCAUGCCGCCCGCAGUACAGUGCGCGAAAAAUUGAAAACAAUUAUCAGAGUACAAGAGCAUAAGAGCAGAAUAUCAUUCUUAUUACAGAAGUAAGUGUUUAUUACUGUUUACUACCACGAGAAUUUUAUAUACAUAUGUAGAAAAAGAAGGAGAUCAGAGAAUGUCGUCAUUGACAUUGUAAGAAAUUGCUAAGUCAAUAAAAAGAAAGAAACGUGUACAUUAAUAUAUGGAAAUGCAAUAGUUGUAUACAUAUUGUAGUAAAAGGAACACGUCUAUGUACAGGCUAUCCCACGCAGCUGGAACAAUCUAUAAUGUUAAAAUGAUGGAAAAUAGAAAACAAUUUCAUUAGGAAAAAUUACACACAUGUACUACGUGAUUCAUCGCUGGAAACCACUUAAUUCUUUUUAAUGAAAUGUUUUUCUAUUUGCUGCCGUUUUAACGCUAUGGCCUGUUCCAGUUGCAUAGAACACCUUGUAUACACACAUACGUUACAUAAUAUAUUAUUGUUCAAAAGUACAUGGCUCGAAUGUAAUUUAUUUGCAAAACUACAAGAAUGAUGUUAUCUUUAUUAAAGCUAUUGUAUAAUAUUAUGAUACGACAAAAUAUAUUUAUAAAAAUUAAUAUCAGUAGGUAUCAAAUAUUAUACGGCUGUUUUGAUUGUCAAACUAUAGAAAAGCUGGAGAUAAAGAAGAAUUGAUCGUGCAGGACUUUCAAGAAAUCAAAAACGGUACAAAAUCGCAGAAUGUGGCAUGCACAUUGUAAACACGAUUUUCUCGGUACCGCGUUCUCUGAAAUGGCCAACACGACAUAAAUUAUACUUGACCGAUUGACUUUAAAAGCAUACAUUACCAAGCGUAUCAUAUAAAUUAGAAUAAUCAACAGAUUGUUUGUUUCAUUUCUUUCUUAUCUGCGAAAGAUCAUCUCGCUGAAUGACUAAGUGAUUUAAGCAACGCGUAUCCAGUUCAGAAUUUAUACAAGUUCGUUGAUGAAAUACGGUAUCAUUUCCUGUUAACGAAUCAAUUAAUAUCUUCGAUUAAAAAAGCUUUAAAAAAUACCACUCCAUGUCGGAAUUUACUGUAAAAGGUGGAAAAUACGUUCUUCGUAUCGCAUUCCACUUCAAUAAUUAAAUAAUAUGGCGUACACGGUUUAUGGGGAAUAUUUUGAUAAAGUUAAAAAGAUUCAAUUGAGAUCUUUUUUCUUAAUAUCUGAAAAUAUAUUGGGAUCAUACAUUAUAAAGCAUUUACAACAAACACAAUAACUUAAUAUUAUACACUAUAUAUAAACUUAAUAUUUAUCAAGAUAUAAUACACAAGCCACGA